rnacentral:lncRNA from 1 species
UGAAUUGUAUAGUUACUCACAUUUUCAGGGAAGGAAACCAAGUAGCUGAUUCCCUCGCAAACUUUGGGCUGUCUCUGGAUCACUUUGAUUUUUUGGAUCAUAUACCUUUGUUUGCUAGGGAAUCCUAUGUUAGGAACAAAAUUGGUUUACCUGAAUUUAGGUUUUCUUCCUGAGGGAGUUUUUUGGUUUGGUCCCCUCCCUCUUCUUUGUUUCCUUUUCUCUUUU